GUGUUCGGAUGUGUCCGGAUGUGUUCAGAUGUGUCCAGAUGUGUUCGGAUGUGUCCGGAUGUUCGUUCAGAUGUGUCCAGAUGUGUUCGGAUGUGUCCGGAUGUGUUAUUCAGAUGUGUCCAGAUGUGUCCGGAUGUGUCCAGAUGUGUCCGGAUGUGUCCGGAUGUCCGGAUGUGUCCGGAUGUGUUCGGAUGUGUCCAGAUGUGUCCGAGAUGUGUUCGGAUGUGUCAGAUGUGUCCGGAUGUGUCCAGAUGUGUCCGGAUGUGUCCGGAUGUGUCCAGAUGUGUCCGGAUGUGUCCGGAUGUGUUCGGGAUGUGUCCGGAUGUGUUCGGAUGUGUUCGGAUGUGUUCGGAUGUGUUCAGAUGUGUUCGGACGUGUUCUGCACGGAGUAAAUGUGAGAGCUGCGGACUGAUGGAGUAAAAAUGGAACUCUUUGUUCAUAAUUAACUUUAUGUUCGGAGAACAACAGGAGCAGCAUUUGAUCAGAGCUUGUUCUACGCUUAAACGUACGCCAUUUUACAGACGCCUGUAAGCAGAGCGACUUACAGAAGCGCUUUGAAGUCUCUAUUAAUAAAUACAUCUUGAGCUUGUUACCUGUUUAGCUUGGGUUUGGAUCUUUGUGGUUGUUUGGCAACCGGUGGAAUAAGAAACACUGCACAGGUAGAUGGAAAGAGACUGAAAAGAGGUUUCAACAACAGGACAAUUCGCAAUGAUAUUUGUUGGUAAAUGAGAGCUUUUAGCUGUACUCGUGUUCAACGCAUGUGAAUCAAAGAGGACAAUCUGCUGUAAUUGUGAAAAGUUGCAGCUCUGCUGUAUAUUGCGGCGUUUCCUUGAUUUUGCGUUCAUUUCUGCAAUCGUGAAAUCCUGGAGGGACUGAUUAAGUACUGACUUAAGUAGGGUGUCCAAACUUUUUCACAUGCAACAAUUACUAUUUUACUUCUUUCGUAAUAUUUUUUAAAGUUCAGCAAAUAUAAAUGAAGUGUGCAGUAGUAUUUGUGUCACUUCAAAAAUCAAUCAAAUAUGUAAAUCGGUGAGGGGUGCACAAACUUUUGCAUACAUGAUACAACGAUAAUAUUUUUAAUAACCAAACCUUUUUCAUUAAUGUGUAAUUUUCUUUUGUAAUCAGAGAAUAUUAAUGUAAUGUUAGCCUUAGACUGUUUACAUUACAUUUACAUUUAUUCAUUUAGUUUUUAUCCAAAGCGACUCACACAUGAGAAACUACAAGCGUGUUUAUCACACGCGUUUCCACCCGAUCUGUUAUUUUUAUGUUUUUGUUUCUAAGACACUUCAUAUUUUUCAGGUUUUGGAAACACUUUCAGUCGGACUUGCCGACAUCGCCACCAGACUGGGACUCUUUCCUGAAAAUGGAUUCGGAUCAGGAUUCGAGCAACUGCGUCCUGUCUUAAACACACAUGAACACAACGUCAGUAAUGUCGGCUGAUCACGUGACCUUUCCGUGCUGAAGGUUUAUUGGUGAAGGUAUAUAUAUUUAACUGUCUCAGGGAUGACAGGGAGUGGCACUAAAGUUAUUUAUUAUUCAUUAUUCAUUAUUAAUUCAUUAAUUCACAGACAGUGAAUGUUUUCUGCUAGAGAGAGAAAUGUAUAGUUCUUUAUUUAAGGUUAGGGUUUACUGUAUCAUGCUGCUGGGUGAAUGAGGGGGAUACGGCAGGUGUGGGGAGAUCCUUUAUUUGAACUUAUUUUUUAGUUUAUUUAGUUUUAUUAAUUUAUUAGUUGUAUUAGUUUAUUUCUGACUGUUUCCUUGCUUCAUCUGUAGAGAAUAUUUAUACCAUUGCAGAAUGUUUUUGUACAGUGAAGGGUAGUGGGUAGCUCAGUGGUUAAGACGUUGUGCUUCUGAGGGAGUUCAAGCCCCAGGACUGCUGAGCUGCCACUGUUGGGCCCUUGAGCAAGUCCUUUAACCCUCAACUGCUCAGCUGUAUAAAUGAGAUAACUGUAAGUCACUCUGGAUAAGGGCGUCACCAAAUGCUGUAAUGUAAAUGAAGGGUUCCUUUAAUUCAAUUCAAUUUUAUUUGUAUUGAGCUUUUAACAAUGGACAUUGUCUCCAUUUUUAUUCUUAUUAUUUCAAUUUAUCGUUCUUAAUGAAUUAAUGUGAUGGCGUUCCUGUGGAUUUGGCAAAUAAAAUGAUCAGUGAUUGAGAGCGUGUUGUGUUUGUUAUAAUGUUUAUACAGCUGUAACCCUUUACAUCUUUCUGAAGCCCUCACAUCUCUUCGUCAUAACAAAUAAGUUAUAACGCUGAUAAUUCACGUUUCUUUCUUUAAUAAGAAGCAUCGGCCUAACAGCACGAACAGCAGCCUAUAUUCAAUUCAGUUCAAUUUUAUUUGUAUAGCGCUUUUUACAAUAGACAUUGUCUCAAAGCAGCUUUACAGAAAUAUCAACACGGUGUACAGAUUUUAAGUGUUUGAAUUUAUCCCAAUUGAACGAGCCGGUGGCGACGGUGGCAAGGAAAAACUCCCUGAGAUGUUUUAAGAGGAAGAAACCUUGAGAGGAACCCGACUCAGAAGGAACCCGUCCUCAU
ensembl:lncRNA